rnacentral:rRNA from 1 species
UACAUGGGGUGCAAACGUUGUUCGGAAUCAUUGGGCGUAAAGCGCGCGUAGGCGGUUGCUUAAGUCGGAUGUGAAAGCCCUCGGCUUAACUGAGGAAGUGCAUCCGAAACUGAGCAGCUAGAGUACGAAAGAGGGUCGCGGAAUUCCCGGUGUAGAGGUGAAAUUCGUAGAUAUCGGGAGGAACACCGGUGGCGAAGGCGGCGACCUGGGUCGAGACUGACGCUGAGGCGCGAAAGCGUGGGGAGCAAACAGG